GGCUAACGCUGGCGGCGUGUCUUAGCCAUGCAAGUCGAGCGGACUUAUGGGGUAACUUAUAAGUCAGCGGCGGACGGCGGAGUAACACGUAGCUAACCUACCCUCUGGACGGGGAUAACCUACCGAAAGGUGGGCUAAUACCCGAUGUAGUCAUCCUGUAUAGGGGUGAUGAAAGGUGGGCUUCUGUUUACAAGCUCAUGCUGGAGGAGGGGGCUGCGGCCUAUCAGGUAGUUGGUAGGGUAAUAGCCUACCAAGCCGAUGACGGGUAGCCGGCCUGAGAGGGUGACCGGCCCGAGGGGCACUGAGAUACGGGUCCCACUCCUACGGGAGGCAGCAGGCUAGAAAUUUGGGCAAUGGGGGAAACCCUGACCCAGUGACGCCGCGUGCAGGAAGGAGCCCUUCGGGGUGUAAACUGCUGUCGUGUAGGGAGAAGGGUACUAAGGUGAACAAUCUUAGUACUUGACGGUACUACAGGAGGAAGCCCAGGCUAACCUCGUGCCAGCAGCCGCGGUAAAGUAGCGUACU
rnacentral:rRNA from 1 species